UAUUUAGGAAGACGCUAUUCACAUA
rnacentral:miRNA from 1 species